rnacentral:rRNA from 1 species
GUGCCAGCCGCUGCGGUAAUACGGAGGGUGCAAGCGUUAUCCGGAUUUAUUGGGUUUAAAGGGUCCGUAGGCGGAUCGGUAAGUCAGUGGUGAAAUCUCAUAGCUUAACUAUGAAACUGCCAUUGAUACUGUCGGUCUUGAGUGUAUUUGAAGUAGCUGGAAUGAGUAGUGUAGCGGUGAAAUGCAUAGAUAUUACUCAGAACACCAAUUGCGAAGGCAGGUUACUAAGAUACAACUGACGCUGAUGGACGAAAGCGUGGGGAGCGAACAGGAUUAGAUACCCUGGUAGUCCACGCCGUAAACGAUGCUAACUCGUUUUUGGGUUUCGACUCAGAGACCAAGCGAAAGUGAUAAGUUAGCCACCUGGGGAUACGUUCGCAAGAAUGAAACUCAAAGGAAUUGACGGGGCCCGCACAAGCGGUGGAUUAUGUGGUUAAUUCGAUGAUACGCGAGGAACCUUACCAAGACUUAAAU